rnacentral:rRNA from 1 species
GAUUCUGGCUCAGGAUUAACGCUGGCGGCGUGCCUAAUACAUGCAAGUCGAAUGGUAGCAAUACCAUGGCGAACGGGUGAGUAACACGUAGGUAACCUGUCUUUAAGCCGAGGAUAACCAUUGGAAACGAUGGAUAAUACUGGAUAGGACAUUUGAAGGCAUCUUUAGAUGUUUAAAGAUUUAUCACUUAGAGAGGGGCCUGCGGCGCAUUAGCUAGUUGGUGAGGUGAAGGCUUACCAAGGCGAUGAUGCGUAGCCGGACUGAGAGGUUGAACGGCCACAAUGGAACUGAGAACGGUCCAUACUCCUACGGGAGGCAGCAGUAGGGAAUUUUCGGCAAUGGGCGGAAGCCUGAACCCGAGCAACGCCGCGUGAACGAAGAAGUAUUUCGGUAUGUAAAGUUCUUUUAUUAGGGACGAAAAGACAGAUUGACGGUACCUAAUGAAUAAGCUCCGGCUAACUACGUGCCAGCAGCCGC